UUACAAUCAGUUAUGUGCGAAGAAUUGUAAGUAUGUGCAGUACAAUGCCACAGAGCAAACUUGAGAAAGGUUUCAAGUUUUAUGUUUCUUCUUAUCUCUGCAAUUCUGAAGUCUUUUGCUAUAGUUUUGAUGACAUCUAAUAAAUAAGGAGUGAAGCCGGGAACGGUGGAUGCCAUGGUGGUAGUGAAGCCCAAACCAGGUGCUACUUCAGCAAGUGGAAUCAGAUCUUCACUAUACAAGGCCUAGAGUGGUGAGCUGCCAGACCCAUCAACACUCGACCCUAAAGCUGUCUAUGCUGACUUCAAACCAGGAUCUCUUCCCCUUAUCUGCACAAUGAAUCUCUCACCUGACAAGCCACUCGUGGAGUC